rnacentral:rRNA from 1 species
UACGAGUGGUGCAAGCGUUAUUCGGAAUUAUUGGGCGUAAAGGGUGCGCAGACGGUUUGUUAAGUCACUUGUUAAAUUCUCCGGCCUAACCGGAGGCGAGCAUGUGAAACUAGCAGACUAGAGGGUGAGAGAGAGAAGUGGAAUUCUCGGAGUAGCGGUAAAAUGCGUAGAUCUCGAGAGGAACACCAAUGGCGAAGGCAGCUUCUUGGCUCACUCCUGACGUUCAGGCACGAAAGCGUGGGGAGCAAACAGG